AUUGUUAAGUCAGUUGUGAAAGUUUGCGGCUCAACCGUAAAAUUGCAGUUGAUACUGGCAGUCUUGAGUGCAGUAGAGGUGGGCGGAAUUCGUGGUGUAGCGGUGAAAUGCUUAGAUAUCACGAAGAACUCCGAUUGCGAAGGCAGCUCACUGGAGUGUAACUGACGCUGAUGCUCGAAAGUGUGGGUAUCAAACAGGAUUAGAUACCCUGGUAGUCCACACAGUAAACGAUGAAUACUCGCUGUUUGCGAUAUACAGUAAGCGGCCAAGCGAAAGCAUUAAGUAUUCCACCUGGGGAGUACGCCGGCAACGGUGAAACUCAAAGGAAUUGACGGGGGCCCGCACAAGCGGAGGAACAUGUGGUUUAAUUCGAUGAUACGCGAGGAAUCUUACCCGGGCUUAAAUUGCAAAUGAAUUAUGGGGAAACCCAUACGCCGCAAGGCAUUUGUGAAGGUGCUGCAUGGUUGUCGUCAGCUCGUGCCGUGAGGUGUCGGCUUAAGUGCCAUAACGAGCGCAACCCUUAUCUUCAGUUACUAACAGGUCAUGCUGAGGACUCUGGAGAGACUGCCGUCGUAAGAUGUGAGGAAGGUGGGGAUGACGUCAAAUCAGCACGGCCCUUACGUCCGGGGCUACACACGUGUUACAAUGGGGGGUACAGAAGGCCGCUACCUGGUGACAGGAUGCCAAUCCCAAAAACCUCUCUCAGUUCGGAUCGAAGUCUGCAACCCGACUUCGUGAAGCUGGAUUCGCUAGUAAUCGCGCAUCAGCCAUGGCGCGGUGAAUACGUUCCCGGGCCUUGUACACACCGCCCGUCAAGCCAUGAAAGCCGGGGGUACCUGAAGUACGUAACCGCAAGGAGCGUCCUAGGGUAAAACUGGUAAUUGGGGC
rnacentral:rRNA from 1 species